rnacentral:rRNA from 1 species
CGAAGGUCCCAAGCGUUAUCCGGAUUUAUGGGCGUAAAGCGCUCGCAGGUGGUUCGAUGCGUCGUGCGUGAAAGCCCCCGGCUCAACUGGGGAGUGUCGUGCGAUACGGUCGGACUGGAGGCCAGUAGGGGGAUGCGGAAUUCCGGGUGUAGUGGUGGAAUGCGUAGAGAUCCGGAGGAACACCAGCGGCGAAGGCGGCAUCCUGGACUGGUCCUGACACUCAUGAGCGAAAGCGUGGGGAGCGAUCCGGAUUAGAUACCCGGGUAGUCCACGCCGUAAACGAUGCGCACUAGGUGUCGGGGGUAUCGACCCCCUCGGUGCCGCAGCUAACGCGAUAAGUGCGCCGCCUGGGGACUACGGCCGCAAGGCUA